AGUGAACGCUGGCGGUAGGCCUAACACACGCAAGUCGAACGGCAGCACAGUAAGAGCUUGCUCUUACGGGUGGCGAGUGGCGGACGGGUGAGGAAUACAUCGGAAUCUACUUUUUCGUGGGGGAUAACGUAGGGAAACUUACGCUAAUACCGCAUACGACCUACGGGUGAAAGCAGGGGAUCUUCGGACCUUGCGCGAUUGAAUGAGCCGAUGUCGGAUUAGCUAGUUGGCGGGGUAAAGGCCCACCAAGGCGACGAUCCGUAGCUGGUCUGAGAGGAUGAUCAGCCACACUGGAACUGAGACACGGUCCAGACUCCUACGGGAGGCAGCAGUGGGGAAUAUUGGACAAUGGGCGCAAGCCUGAUCCAGCCAUACCGCGUGGGUGAAGAAGGCCUUCGGGUUGUAAAGCCCUUUUGUUGGGAAAGAAAAGCAGCAGGUUAACACCCCGCUGUUCUGACGGUACCCAAAGAAUAAGCACCGGCUAACUUCGUG
rnacentral:rRNA from 1 species